UACGUAGGGUGCAGGCGUUAAUCGGAAUUACUGGGCGUAAAGCGUACGCAGGCGGCUAUGUAAGACAGGUGUGAAAUCCCCGGGCCUAACCUGGGAACUGCAUUUGUGACUGCAUAGCUAGAGUCCGUCAGAGGGGGGUGGAAUUCCACGUGUAGCAGUGAAAUGCGUAGAGAUGUGGAGGAACACCGAUGGCGAAGGCAGCCCCCUGGGAUGAGACUGACGCUCAUGUACGAAAGCGUGGGGAGCAAACAGG
rnacentral:rRNA from 1 species